rnacentral:lncRNA from 1 species
AGGGGAGCUGGGCCCGAGCCCCAGAACUGCAAACUGGAAAUGCCAGGGCCACACUCAAGCAAGGCAGGCCCCAGUCAUUUCCAAGGACCUGGACUUCUGGGCCAGACUUCACCACUACCAGAGAUAUGCUUUCAUCUUUCUUAGAGGGAAGGCGUUCUGAUUCCAGCGUCCUGCUGAGUCCAGCACCAACAGUAGUGCCUGGUAAUCCAGCUGCAUUCCCCGCACCCACCCACCUCCGCCACCCAGGAUGAUAGUACUUACACGGCUGAGUCAUUUAGGCACAGAGAGACCCAAACCCUACUCUCUGGAGCUUGUGGAUGCAAACGCUGACAUACCUCCCAGAUGCUCAGAAGUAGAACAAGUAGGGACUUAGUGGUCCAAACAACAUUUACAGCCCAGCCUACCUUCUUUCACAGAGAGGGAGCUGGGAAAGGGAGCUGUGGCCUCUCCAAAGGCUGCACUUGGCUCUAGAUGUCUGACUGUCAAGGAGCUGAAGGGCUCAUGUCAGAAUCCAGGGCUCCCAGUGUGGAUCUGGAGAAAGUCAUCUAGUUCUGUCUCUGCCAUGAACAGCUGUAUGGCCUUGGG